rnacentral:rRNA from 1 species
CGCAUCUGUGCAUGCAGCAUAUCAAUAAGCGGAGGAAAAGAAACUAACAAGGAUUCCCUUAGUAACGGCGAGUGAAGCGGGAAGAGCUCAAAUUUGAAAUCUUCAAGGUUUUACCUUGACGAAUUGUAGUUUAAAGAAGUGUUUUCUGUUGAAGUUUUGGUAAAAGUUCUUUGGAAUAGGACAUCAUAGAGGGUGAGAAUCCCGUAUUUGACCAUUUACUUUCAGCUGUGUGAUACACUUUCAAAGAGUCGGAUUGUUUGGGAAUGCAGUCCAAAAUGGGUGGUAAAUUUCAUCUAAAGCUAAAUAUUGGCGAGAGACCGAUAGCGAACAAGUACCGUGAGGGAAAGAUGAAAAGAACUUUGAAAAGAGAGUUAAACAGUACGUGAAAUUGUCAAAAGGGAAGCGUCUGACACCAGUGUUGUUUUCUCGAAAAUCAAUUAAAAAGAGUUAGACUUUGUUGUGUAUUGACCUUAACAGCUUGCAUUUCAAUUUUCUUGCUUUUUUUAAUGCACUUUUCGUUUAACAAGUCAACAUCAGUUUCUUUUGUUGUAAAAAGGUCAUUGGAAGGUGGCUUUCUUUUCGGAGAAAGUGUUUAUAGCCUUUGACUCCUGCAAUCGGAGAGACUGAGGUCUGCAGCGUAGAUCCUUCGGGGUUAGAUACAUUUGUGCUAAGUUAUAGCUUUUUAUAGACAACUUGUUGACUAUGAUUAGUCUUGUAGCUUACUCGCUUAUGCUAUUUUACCUACGCUUAGGAUGUUGAUGUGAUACUGCGAGCA